rnacentral:piRNA from 1 species
UAUUUUCGCAUUGUCUCUGAU